ACGAACGCUGGCGGCGUGCCUAAUACAUGCAAGUCGAACGCUUCUUUUUCCACCGGAGCUUGCUCCACCGGAAAAAGAGGAGUGGCGAACGGGUGAGUAACACGUGGGUAACCUGCCCAUCAGAAGGGGAUAACACUUGGAAACAGGUGCUAAUACCGUAUAACAAUCGAAACCGCAUGGUUUUGAUUUGAAAGGCGCUUUCGGGUGUCGCUGAUGGAUGGACCCGCGGUGCAUUAGCUAGUUGGUGAGGUAACGGCUCACCAAGGCGACGAUGCAUAGCCGACCUGAGAGGGUGAUCGGCCACAUUGGGACUGAGACACGGCCCAAACUCCUACGGGAGGCAGCAGUAGGGAAUCUUCGGCAAUGGACGAAAGUCUGACCGAGCAACGCCGCGUGAGUGAAGAAGGUUUUCGGAUCGUAAAACUCUGUUGUUAGAGAAGAACAAGGAUGAGAGUAACUGUUCAUCCCUUGACGGUAUCUAACCAGAAAGCCACGGCUAACUACGUGCCAGCAGCCGCGGUAAUACGUAGGUGGCAAGCGUUGUCCGGAUUUAUUGGGCGUAAAGCGAGCGCAGGCGGUUUCUUAAGUCUGAUGUGAAAGCCCCCGGCUCAACCGGGGAGGGUCAUUGGAAACUGGGAGACUUGAGUGCAGAAGAGGAGAGUGGAAUUCCAUGUGUAGCGGUGAAAUGCGUAGAUAUAUGGAGGAACACCAGUGGCGAAGGCGGCUCUCUGGUCUGUAACUGACGCUGAGGCUCGAAAGCGUGGGGAGCAAACAGGAUUAGAUACCCUGGUAGUCCACGCCGUAAACGAUGAGUGCUAAGUGUUGGAGGGUUUCCGCCCUUCAGUGCUGCAGCUAACGCAUUAAGCACUCCGCCUGGGGAGUACGACCGCAAGGUUGAAACUCAAAGGAAUUGACGGGGGCCCGCACAAGCGGUGGAGCAUGUGGUUUAAUUCGAAGCAACGCGAAGAACCUUACCAGGUCUUGACAUCCUUUGACCACUCUAGAGAUAGAGCUUCCCCUUCGGGGGCAAAGUGACAGGUGGUGCAUUGUUGUCGUCAGCUCGUGUCGUGAGAUGUUGGGUUAAGUCCCGCAACGAGCGCAACCCUUAUUGUUAGUUGCCAUCAUUUAGUUGGGCACUCUAGCAAGACUGCCGGUGACAAACCGGAGGAAGGUGGGGAUGACGUCAAAUCAUCAUGCCCCUUAUGACCUGGGCUACACACGUGCUACAAUGGGAAGUACAACGAGUCGCAAAGUCGCGAGGCUAAGCUAAUCUCUUAAAGCUUCUCUCAGUUCGGAUUGUAGGCUGCAACUCGCCUACAUGAAGCCGGAAUCGCUAGUAAUCGCGGAUCAGCACGCCGCGGUGAAUACGUUCCCGGGCCUUGUACACACCGCCCGUCACACCACGAGAGUUUGUAACACCCGAAGUCGGUGAGGUAACCUUUUGGAGCCAGCCGCCUAAGGUGGGAUAGAUGAUUGGGGUG
rnacentral:rRNA from 1 species